rnacentral:rRNA from 1 species
GAUGAACGCUGGCGGCGUGCCUAAUACAUGCAAGUCGAGCGAACAGACGAGGAGCUUGCUCCUCUGACGUUAGCGGCGGACGGGUGAGUAACACGUGGAUAACCUACCUAUAAGACUGGGAUAACUUCGGGAAACCGGAGCUAAUACCGGAUAAUAUAUUGAACCGCAUGGUUCAAUAGUGAAAGACGGUUUUGCUGUCACUUAUAGAUGGAUCCGCGCCGCAUUAGCUAGUUGGUAAGGUAACGGCUUACCAAGGCAACGAUGCGUAGCCGACCUGAGAGGGUGGUCGGCCACACGGGAACUGAGCCACGGUCCAGACUCCUACGGGAGGCAGCAGUAGGGAAUCUGCCGCAAUAGGCGAAAGCCUGACGGAGCAACGCCGCGUGAGAGAUGAAGGUCUUCGGAUCGUAAAACUCUGUUAUUAGGGAAGAACAAAUGUGUAAGUAACUAUGCACAUCUUGACGGUACCUAAUCAGAAAGCCACGGCUAACUACGUG